rnacentral:rRNA from 1 species
AAUAGAUACCCGGGUAGUCCACGCCGUAAACGAUGAGUGCUAAGUGUUAGAGGGUUUCCGCCCUUUAGUGCUGCAGCUAACGCAUUAAGCACUCCGCCUGGGGAGUACGGCCGCAAGGCUGAAACUCAAAGGAAUUGACGGGGGCCCGCACAAGCGGUGGAGCAUGUGGUUUAAUUCGAAGCAACGCGAAGAACCUUACCAGGUCUUGACAUCCUCUGACAACCCUAGAGAUAGGGCUUUCCCCUUCGGGGGACAGAGUGACAGGUGGUGCAUGGUAGUCGUCAGCUCGUGUCGUGAGAUGUUGGGUUAAGUCCCGCAACGAGCGCAACCCUUGAUCUUAGUUGCCAGCAUUCAGUUGGGCACUCUAAGGUGACUGCCGGUGACAAACCGGAGGAAGGUGGGGAUGACGUCAAAUCAUCAUGCCCCUUAUGACCUGGGCUACACACGUGCUACAAUGGAUGGUACAAAGGGCAGCGAAACCGCGAAGUUAAGCCAAUCCCAUAAAACCAUUCUCAGUUCGGAUUGCAGGCUGCAA